ensembl:snRNA U6 U6 spliceosomal RNA
CUGUCCACAUGGUCACUUCAGCACAAAAAUUGGAAUGAUACAUAAAAGAUGGACAUGACCCCUGCACAAGGAUGACACGUAAAUUCAUGGAGUGUUUCAUAUUUGG